UACGUAGGCAGCAAGCGUUGUUCGGAUUUACUGGGCGUAAAGAGCGCGCAGGCGGUCCGAUCAGUCGAAUGUGAAAGCCCCCGGCUCAACCUGGGGAGGGUCAUUCGAUACUGUCGGACUCGAAGGCAGGAGAGGGAAGCGGAAGUUCCCGGUGUACGUGGUGAAAUGCGAUAGAUAUCGGGAGGAACACCAGUGGCGAAGGCGG
rnacentral:rRNA from 1 species